GGGAUCUUCCCAGACCAGGGAUCGAACCCGUGUCCCCUGCAUUGGCAAGCGGAUUCUUAACCACUGAACCACCAGGGAAGUCCCAAACCUCUGAUCUUAAUCAUUAUUGUCAUAUGGCCCUACAGUCUAGGUCCUGGGCUGAGAUUCCUGGGUAGCAGUGUUCCUGAGUCCUGCUGUGUUGUCAUGGGUCUCCCCAGAAUGCCUCUUCUCACCCACACUUUUUGUUAUUACUGACCUCACCUGUGAGAUGUCCAGUGCACUGUGGAUUACAUUUCCUGUUCAGUCCUAUGGUCAUAGCACUGUUAAAAAUACCAUUCUUUGGAGUCAGAAUUUCUACAUCAUUUUAAGACUCUAUUGGGGAGGGGGAGUAUAUUGUGAUUGGGGGAUAAAAAACUGUGUGGCCAGAUUAUGUCAUUAGUAAUUAAAAAGUCACUUGAGGGCAAGGGCGGCCCGACCCCCCAGGCGGCCAUCCAGAGGCUUCGGGACACGGAGGAGAUGCUAAGUAAGAAACAGGAAUUCCUGGAGAAGAAGAUCGAGCAGGAGCUGACAGCCGCCAAGAAGCACGGCACCAAAAACAAGCGCGCUGCCCUCCAGGCACUGAAGCGCAAGAAGAGGUAUGAAAAGCAGCUGGCACAGAUCGACGGCACACUGUCAACCAGCGAGUUCCAGCGAGAGGCCCUGGAGAAUGCUAACACGAACACCGAGGUGCUCAAGAACAUGGGCUAUGCCACCAAAGCCAUGAAGGCUGCCCACGACAACAUGGACAUCGAUAAAGUUGAUGAGUUAAUGCAGGACAUUGCUGACCAGCAGGAACUUGCAGAAGAGAUUUCAACAGCUAUUUCAAAAUCUGUAGGGUUUGGAGAAGAGUUUGACGAGGAUGAGCUCAUGGCAGAAUUAGAAGAACUAGAACAGGAGGAGCUAGACAAGAAUUUGCUGGAAAUCAGUGGACCGGAAACAGUCCCUCUACCAAAUGUUCCUUCUAUAUCCCUACCAUCAAAACCCACCAAGAAGAAGGAAGAGGAAGACGACGACAUGAAGGAAUUAGAGACCUGUGCUGGAUCCAUUUAACUGGUCCAGCGCGGGCUGGGCCCAGACAGACUCUGGUGGCCUGCGAGGCGGGCAGGCGCGUGCGUGUGUGGGGCAGGCAGGCCGUGGUGCAGGCAGGUUCCAUCGCUCUCGAAUCUCCCU